GGAGGACUAUUUUUCUAUCACCUCCACAUAGCCAAAGAAAGGAAACUGAAGAACAACACUCUGUGCAACAGAUUGAUAACAAAGUGGAAGACAUGUUUUCUGGGGAUUUUCAGUCUAACAUACAGCAAAAUCAUCUCCUACCCAAUGAUACUGCCAACUUAAUCAAGGUCAACCUUCAGACAGAUAGCAGAGAAAACCUCCAUCCUUGAUUAAUGAAAAGAAUACGUUGAGAUGGAAAAGACAAAGACACAGCAAAGAAGGUUUUGAGGAUAUGAGCAAAUAACUUCAAAAUUUACAGAGUCCCAUGAGCAGUAUUUAUUAUAUAUUCUUUCUCACAUUCCCCUUCCCAUUACA